rnacentral:rRNA from 1 species
AGAGUUUGAUCCUGGCUCAGGAUGAACGCUAGCGGGAGGCCUAACACAUGCAAGCCGAGCGGUAUUGUUUCUUCGGAAAUGAGAGAGCGGCGUACGGGUGCGGAACACGUGUGCAACCUGCCUUUAUCUGGGGGAUAGCCUUUCGAAAGGAAGAUUAAUACUCCAUAAUAUAUUGAACGGCAUCGUUUAAUAUUGAAAGCUCCGGCGGAUAGAGAUGGGCACGCGCAAGAUUAGCUAGUUGGUGAGGUAACGGCUCACCAAGGCAAUGAUCUUUAGGGGGCCUGAGAGGGUGAUCCCCCACACUGGUACUGAGACACGGACCAGACUCCUACGGGAGGCAGCAGUGAGGAAUAUUGGUCAAUGGGUGCAAGCCUGAACCAGCCAUCCCGCGUGAAGGACGACUGCCCUAUGGGUUGUAAACUUCUUUUGUAUAGGGAUAAACCUUCCCACGUGUGGGAAGCUGAAGGUACUAUACGAAUAAGCACCGGCUAACUCCGUGCCAGCAGCCGCGGUAAUACGGAGGGUGCAAGCGUUAUCCGGAUUUAUUGGGUUUAAAGGGUCCGUAGGCGGACUUAUAAGUCAGUGGUGAAAGCCUGUCGCUUAACGAUAGAACUGCCAUUGAUACUGUAAGUCUUGAGUAUAAUUGAGGUAGCUGGAAUAAGUAGUGUAGCGGUGAAAUGCAUAGAUAUUACUUAGAACACCAAUUGCGAAGGCAGGUUACCAAGUUAUAACUGACGCUGAGGGACGAAAGCGUGGGGAGCGAACAGGAUUAGAUACCCUGGUAGUCCACGCCGUAAACGAUGCUAACUCGUUUUUGGGGCGCAAGCUUCAGAGACCAAGCGAAAGUGAUAAGUUAGCCACCUGGGGAGUACGCUCGCAAGAGUGAAACUCAAAGGAAUUGACGG